UACGUAGGGCGCAAGCGUUGUCCGGAAUCAUUGGGCGUAAAGAGCUCGUAGGUGGUCUGUUACGUCUGCUGUGAAAUCCUAGGGCUUAACCCUGGGCCUGCAGUGGAUACGGGCAGACUAGAGGUAGGUAGGGGAGAAUGGAAUUCCCGGUGUAGCGGUGAAAUGCGCAGAUAUCAGGAAGAACACCCGUGGCGAAGGCGGCUCUCUGGAACGCAACUGACGCUGAGACGCGAAAGCGUGGGGAGCAAACAGG
rnacentral:rRNA from 1 species